GGCAGCUGACACAUUUAUCUCCUUUAUUUCAUGAGACUCCUUUAUAAAGGUAUGAAGAGGAUUUCUCACAAUACAGAUCACAGGAUGACAGAGGUUGUGUCUCUUCCCCAUAGCUAACACAAUGGAAGAAUUACGUCAGAGUGAGUCCUUUCGCUCAGCCAGAGUUACUCUAGACUAACUAGACAGUAAGUAAAGGAAGAACAAAUUUAUAUAUUUCUGAGUUUUAAUUCCUUUUAAGCAUGUGGCAAUAGUUAGUUGAGCCUGUGCUAUCAGAUUAUUUCAUCAGAUUGCAUGUUGAGAACAUGCAAAUCAUGACAUGCCACAUAUUACACAUAUUACCCCUUUGAAUCCCUUCAUGAGAAAGGAUAAUAGUUUGCAAGGUCAGUUUCUCAAUUUGCUGUAUGUAUUCCAGACAGGUAGGAUGCAUG